AAAGAAUUCACCUGUAUAUGGAAUAGCUUUACGGCUUCCUAAUUUUUUUUAACAUUAUUUUUCUUUUAUUUAAUUUUUUAAAUUUGAAUGAAGUAAUAUCACAGGCUUCCAUAUACAGGCUCGAUAAUAUCAAUAUUUGUCAACCCUUUGGACACACCAGCACUAAAUUACAGCAAAAUAAAAAUUGGUAACAGCCCAUCCCCACUUUAUUUUCUGACUCUGACAUGGUGGCUCAGUGGUUAGCACUGUGGCCUCACAGCAAGAAGGUCCCUGGACCUUUCUGUGUGGAGUUUGCAUGUUCUCCCCAUGUCAUGCCCAAGACAUGCAGAGAUAUAUUGUAGUGUCAGGCCAUCCCCCAAACUUGGACCCUAAAAGGAUGUAUAAGGAGAGCAACACUGACAACGGUGUGGAGAGGGGUCAAAACCUUGGACCAUAUGAUGAACAGGUGUCUCUUGUUGGUCUGGAGCAAGAAUAUUGUUACAGGCGACACAGUAGUGAAAAGUGAAAGCAUCUGUUUCAAGCGCCUCCAGACUACAAACCGCACUUUUGGGUCAGGAGUUUGUGUCUUGCCGAAGAGAGCCUGAAACCCCCUGCACCUUACACCAUCCUUCAGCGUCAUGUUGAACCAUCUCCAGACGACAUCCUUUUGGAUCAAACCCCCACCUAGAUCUCCCCUCAUAAAUUAUAAAAUGUUGGAAUUCUAAAUAAAUUCUUAAGGUCUUCCCA